UUAUACACAGGAGGGCCGCAUGUGGUUACCACCGUAAGAAGCUUGGAAGCACAUGACCGCUUCUAAAGGAGAGACAGAACAUAAACCAUCUGUCUCCAGCAUCUUAUAAUAGAAAACCCGAUGCAAAGGAGAAGAACCUCUGCUAAAACUAAACAAAAAAACCUUCAUUAAAAGCUUCUGCGAAACCGAAUCGAACGAAAUCAAAUAGUGUUGGACUACCAAAAGAGGGCUACUUACUCCAUGAAAGCAAAUAAAGAGAGAGGUAGAAGAGAACCCUCAAAUAGAUGCACCGCCGGGAGAGAGCCAACGGAGCCAGAUCCACUGUCCUCGAGUAGCUCCAGAUUCGAUAGAUGCCCAGAGAGAAGCACACCGUGAGCUCACGCUUCACUCUGCCACACCCACGCCUUCAGUACCACCAAAGCUCUGCCUCAUACCAAAUUACAUAUCUCAGAGCAGACCAAAAGACAAAGGAGAGAAGUGAGAGAUCAUCACCAGAACUACUCUUCCGAGCACCACAAUUUCCAGGGGCAAAGCUAGACAAUUUAUCUUGUGGGUGCACUGUCAUUAAUAAAACAUAAAAGGUGGAAAAGAAGAAAUCAAACCCGGAUUACUAUGGGUGCACAACCUCACUUUUUC
rnacentral:lncRNA from 1 species